AGCAACCGCGGUAAUUCCAGCUCCAAUAGCGUAUAUUAAAGUUGUUGCAGUUAAAAAGCUCGUAGUUGAAUUUCGGAAUCUGUCCGUCGGUCGGGCUUAAUUGUCCGUACUGGUGUGGUGGGUUCUUACCUUCUGAAUAACCAGCAUGCCAUUAAUUUGGUGCGUUGGGGAAGCAGGACUAUUACCUUGAAAAAAUUAGAGUGCUCAAAGCAGGCUAGUGCCUGAAUACAUUAGCAUGGAAUAAUAAAAUAGGACGGCAUGGUUCUAUUUUGUUGGUUUCUAGGAUCACCGUAAUGAUUAAUAGGGAUAGUUGGGGGCAUUAGUAUUCAAUUGUCAGAGGUGAAAUUCUUGGAUUUAUUGAAGACUAACUUCUGCGAAAGCAUUUGCCAAGGAUGUUUUC
rnacentral:rRNA from 1 species